GGGGAAUUAGCUCAGAUGGUUAGAGCGCUACGCUCACAUCGUAGAGGUCUGGGGUUCGAAUCCCUAAUUCCCCA
rnacentral:tRNA from 1 species